rnacentral:lncRNA from 1 species
AUUCUAAAUAAAAGGAAAAAGGCUUACACUACCUAAAGCUGUGCUCUCUGCCUCCCGGGAGAGGGCCGCAAGCCAGGCGCUCCACCAGCCACCGGGGCUCCUAACCCACCCGCUGGGCGUCACCUUGCCUCCUCUUCCGAAUUGGGUGUUUGCCUGACCAUCAAAGCAACGACUUUUUAUUCUGUUUGUACCGAACCAAAACAAACAACUGUGUAUAGACUGCUCUUUUCUUUUUUAUUUGAAAAUGAGGCGUUUCGGUGUUCUGUCCCCUGCCAUACGGCCUGUCCGCCUGCCCUUCCCCAACAGUGGCCCCAGCAGACUGGCCGAAGGUCCCGCCGCCGCCACUGCAGCAGCAGCAGCAGCGCCUGCACGGCUCCGCUCAACCCUGGAAGGAAUGGGACGUGGCCGGGAGCUCGUGCCCACCGUGGCCACACGGGGAGCAGUGUGGGCCCUCAGGGGCCUGCUGUGCAUGUGGCUCUUUUUAACACAGUAAACUAGAUUAGACGUCAGUGUUUUAAUUGCCCCCCUCCUCUGCUCUUUUCUGUCUCUCCCUCCUUCCUGCCCCCACCCUCCCCAGCCAGAUGACCACCCCAUGUCUCCCUCCCUUCCUCCUCUGCCCCCAGGGGAGUCCGGCUGUCUGAAACCCUUCAGCUUCUCUCCCUGUCCCACCGCUCCUCUCCUGCUGUCAGAUGGAUUUAUUCCUUUUUUAAACAGUGAACGUUGGAAAUGAGACUGUGGGGUGUGGGUUUUUUUUUUCCUCCUCUUAAUUUUCGUUGUUGGGUUUUUGAGCAACCUCAUGUCCCCCUCCCAGGGAGCGUCUUUAUUUACCUCUUAGAAAUGGGACGGAUGGGAGGUAGAGCACUGUUUUCCGCAUGCUUUGUCUUACGAUGAGAUUAUAUAGCAAGGCUUUAAUGCCAUUUGGGCAGGUAAGCUUCUGCGCCUCUGUUGUGCUCAGCUGUAUUCUCUUCUUCCUCUCAUUUCCUCUCUCCCCUCUUUUUUCCUCUCCCCUUCCUGCCUCCUUCCUUCUUGCUGCCUUCCUUUUAUCUUUCUUUCCCUUUCUCAGAUUAUCCUUCCAGGUUUUCGUAAUAAAUUUAUAUUUUGUAAAAGGAUUUUGUUGUACCAGGUUUUGCAUCCUCACUGAAUCUGACUGGCUUUUAUUUUCCUCUCCAGAAUCAGGUUUUUGUUCUCACCAUCUUUCCCCAUCAUGUCCAGUCACUGUUUUGGUUUUGGCACCAUCAAUAUCAAAUGUACAAACGGUUCUUGCUAACCAACACCAGGUAUAUCUGAUGUUCAGAUGAGUUCCAAUAAAAACAAUUUUUUUUUUUCAAAAAGUGUCCUUUCUUGAGUGCUGGAGGGCUUCUGAUCAAGUCCAGACAGGUCAGUGUAGCCCUCGAGACUGGACAGAGCUCUGCUGUCUCAAAUUUGCUCCAUGGGAGACCUUUAGAGCCAGGGUCAUGUGGAGGCCUUUGGGUGAGAAGGUUGGUCUGUGAGGUCUGAAAUGGGCACAAGGGCUCAGUUAUCUUUGUUUUUCCAAGGUCUCGUGGUCCAGUGAGGACAUGGGGUUUGGGUUGUAAUAUCCUCUGAACCUGUUUCCUCACCUGCACAGCAAGGAUGGUGCUUCCUCUGUGGGUAAUUGCGGUGGGAGGGUUACAUGCAUUUAGCAGAAGGGCAGAUGCCUGGAGAAUCCUGGCAUUCAGUUGUGGUUUAGUUUUAGUUUUUUUGGAUCUUGUUCAAAAGCAUUGGUUUUCAUCCUGCUCCUCAGACUCCUGUGGGACUCUGGGGCCACGGGGAGGAGGGGGUGAGCUCUAGCUGCCAACUCCAGUCCGAGCCACUCUCUGUCAUGUUUCAACAUGGUGUCUCUGUGUAUAGUUCCACUUGAGGAGGAGUUGUGCUUCAAUAAAGGGCUUUAAAAAUAUCCCAAAGGAUCCAGGACCAGAGCAGGCUUGGCAGUCCCAGGAGCUCAGAGCCUGCCCUCCCCUCCCUCAGCGUGUCUGCUGACUCCUCUAGACCUGUGCUGCCCAGUGUGUGGCUGCAGGCCCCGUGCGGCCUUGCAGCCCUUGAAGUGUGGCUCGUUCAAACUGGGGUGUCUUGCAAAAGUAAACAAACCAGAAUACUUUGAAG